CUUGACCACUUGUCAUUAUAAAAGUUGUCGUUUUUUUAAAAAUACCGUCGUUUGUUAAAUUUUUUGUUGCUUCGAGAUAUCAUUGUCGUUUUUCAAAAUAAUUGUGUCGUUUUACGAGAAAAUCGUCAAAAUUCAUUUUGGGUUAGUUUCGACGGAAGCUUAUUGUAGACGAUCUGUUUGCCGCCUCACUCACUCAAACAUCGCCGCUUUCCCUCGCACACAGACACCGCCGGAGACGCCCUCGGACGAACGAUUCCCCCUCAGGUCAAUAUGAAGACAGUGUCAGGGAAUGUGGUCUCUUCAAAGCCAAUAUCUCUAUCAAAAGCUACUUCAAUUCUCUCCACAUUCGUCUCUACUAACACCGGCGCUUCCCAAGCUAUUGCUGCAUAUCUUCGACGCUCCUUGGCGUCAUUCAAGGAGCUUAAGCAGCUUCAUAAGGACCUCAAGACCAAAAAAUCAGAACGCAAGCGGAAGAGGCGUGGAGCUGCUGAUGCUGAGGGAGAGGCAAAUGUUGGAGAAAGUGCAGCUCUAGUUUUAGACCCAACUCAAGAAGAAGUGUGCCAUGAGUCGGAGCCUAAGCGUAAAAAACAACGCAGAUGAGUUCAUUGUUUGAUAGUUCUUCUUUUAAGGAUUCCCAAUGUUAUGAAUUUAUAUGAAAAGCAGUAGGAAUUUAUGGCUAGAUUUUGGAUUUCUGAUAAGUAGAUUAACCCUCUUUUUUGUUUCUUUUUAUAGUCAAUGUCUAAGCCUCAAUUUUGUUUAGGUUGUUACCAUUUUAUGUUGGGUUAGAGAUUGAGUUUUACUUGCUAAGGUUGUAUCUUUAUUACCAUGUUUAUUGUUCAGAUUCAGAGGUCGUCUAUAUUACUUUGACUUAUGGUAAUUUUGAGUUUAAUGCCUUGAAUCGAAAUAACACAAGUAAAAUAUCAAACAAAGCUCUGCAUAGUGCAUGCCAAUCAUUGAUUGAAUGACAAAGCUUUUUUUUUUUUUUUUGCUGUUCAUACAAAAAUCUCACAUUUUGUGGCCCCCUUGUAUUCAUUAGAUUCUAAUUACUGCUAUAUGUCUUUAAAAAACAUUAAAAAAGAGGUUUUUUUUUACAUAAUCCAAAAUCUCAGUUUACAGAAACAGAAGCUUAAAUUAAUGAAAGGUAGAAGAUUUGACAAGAAAGAAUAUUUGGAAAUUUAUAUUGCACACCAGAUGGUUGAUAUUUCCCAGCUUGGAGGCUCCUUCCUUAUAGUAAAUAGAAUCCAAGACAAUCAGAGAGAGAGAGAGAGAGAGCAGUAUAUGUCUUGACAUUCGGAAAGUGCAAUGGAGCCCUGCUCUUACCGUGUCCAAGGUCCUUCUGUCGAUUUGCUCGCUGCUGACGGAUCCAAACCCAGACGAUCCUCUGGUGCCGGAGACCGCUCACAUGUACAAGUCGGACAGAGCUAAGUAUGAAUCUACUGCUCGAUCCUGGACUCAGAAAUAUGCAAUGGGGGGUUGUGAGGGUUAUGGUUUAUUCUGCUGAUAGUUACUGGAAUCCUAGACCUAUAAGUAACUUUUUUGGUCUGUUAUUAUGCUUUGUGUGUCAUUCUCUUGAGUCUUGACACACAACAGCACCCCCUUGUUCACAUUAUUUUUUUGAAUAGUUGAUUCAUAAUAGUAGUAUUACUAUUAAAUUUCAUCAAUUCAUUAUUGAA